ensembl:lncRNA
AUGUUUUCUUUUAAUCAACCAAAUUGCAUUAUACACCAACGGCGUGCUGUACCCCUCAAUGGCGGCCUGAUGGAGGAGAGGAGGAAACAGCAGGGGGCAGACAGGACACUUCGAUCCUCUUACUUUGAACGCCGGGUGGAUAUGAUGUCUGACGGACGCAGACAGAUCUCAUGUAUUCAGCGCAUACUCGCACACAGCGGAAUGGACUGGCGAAUACAUUCGAUCCUCAGGGUAGAGGAGGAGAAGAAACUAAAGGGAUGACUUCAGCCACAAAGUCACUUUGACACAGCGAAUGAGGAAUCAGGUAACGGAUCAGGCUUCAUUAGGUGACUUCAGGCAAGCUGGCAGUCAGCCAGGUGAGCUGGACGCACAAAUGGACAUUGAUUUUUCAAUAAGGGCCCCCCAAGCUGUCAGCCAACCGUACCACACCAAUAUCCCUCCUCCUAGGGAUCGGCCUUUGGCUACCUGACUAGUGGGUCUUUUUGGAUCCACACACAGCCCACCUGCUUCCUAACUUCUUUCUAACUGAGAAGCAACCACACCGACCACACUUGGAGAAAUUUAUGUCUUUAUUCAAGAGCACAGUGAGAAUUGUGGCCCAGGACAGCAGAGGUCAUAGUCUGUUGACAUCUCAGCCAUAUUUUUAAAGCUUGAGGUCUGCACCAGUUGUGCUGCGGUUCCUCUGUUCCAGGGCUGCUGGGGCCAGACACCUUUAAUGUGUCCCAUCCAUCAGGCCGUCUCCUUGACCGCGGGGCACUGCUAAUACUGGGCUGCCCUCCACCUGAACCCCCUCACCCAGCGGGUAGUACAGUAGUAGUUUGCAAAGGAUUCAUUCAUUGUUUUUUAAAUAUGAAUUCAAGAGCAACCAUCUACAGAGAAUAACGCUGAGUUUGCAUAAAGAAUUAGACAUUAGCAAAUUUACAUGAAGUGUCUAUCCACCCAUUGGCCCACAUAGAAAUUCGAUGUCUCUAAAGGCAUUUUGUCCAAAUAUCAACUCUCGCAUGUCGCCAGAUUGCAAUAAUUGAGGUUUGAUAAAUGCUAUUUUUUCUUUUUUUGGAGAAAGCCUCUAAUAGGCCUUGGAGGAGAGCAGAUGAGAAAUCAAUAUUCACAGCAUUGUAAAAAUUAUACAAGUUUCACUUACAUGUAAUUAUCAGAUUUCAAGCCGAUUUACCCUGACACUGCUUAAUGAAAUCGAUUAUCUGUUGUGCAAAAUAACAGAGCGCCUUGCGAUCUAUAUUCAGGCCGGUGCUCUCUUGCAAGCUCAUAAAUUAUGAAAAUGCAGUGAAAAGUGGAUAAUAAAUAAUAUUUAUACUAGCUGUGAGGUAGAAGCCAUCAGUAGCGUAAUAAAACUUGACUUGGCUAAUGCUUACUGAAACGGCGUUACUAAUGAAAGGGCACUUGUCAACAACUAUGAGGUCAUUGCAAGCCAUAAUGAUAUUACAUAAUCAUAAAAGUGAGAGCUCAUGCAGAUUUAGGGGACGUAACAAAAGGUUGAGUGUGUUUGGGGCACUAAAAUGAUAGCAGGUUUUAACUAUCCCAAGCUGAGAAACUGAUUGUCUAGGGAUUACAAAAAAUAAAAAAAAAAUGUUCUAAACUACAUCCUGUAUGCAAGAUGCAGUUAUAUGUACUUUUAGGGUAAUCUGACAAAUCGCUGAAUUGUGGAAGCCUGUUUUUGCUCUAUAUUAAUUUUUUUUUUAAAAAAGGUACUUAUGAGGUAAGAAACAAUAGUUACAGCUGUGAAAUGAAGUCACAUAUGUAAGAUAUAAAGUCACAAAUUAAGAAAUUAAAAAAAUAUCACAUCUGUGUAAGAUAAAUUAACAAAUGUGAGAAAUAUAAUCACAGUUAUGCAAAUAGUCAAAAGUGUGCAAUAUAAAAUUGUGAGUCAUGGUUAUUAUAAAUAGUUAAAUUGUGUAAAAAAUAGUCAAAACUAUGAAAUAAGUUGCAAUAAGACAAAGUCAGUUAUGAGAAAUAAAGUCACAACUAUGCAAAGAUAUCACAAUAAUGAUAAAUUAAAAAAAAAAAAGAAAAAAAGAAAAAUAAAGGCACAAUUAUACAAAGAUAUUAAAAAUGGUGAUAUAUAAGUUACUAUUGUUUACAAUAAUGAGAAAUAAAGUUGUAAUUAUGUAAAAUUUGUCACAUUUGAGAGAUCUGUGAGAAGUUGUUAUUCUUAAAUGUUAUGUCACAAUAAUGAGAAAUAUUAUGUCACAAUUAUGCAAUAAUAUUUGAAACUGUAAGAUAUAAGUUUCUAUAGAUAUAGUCAAAAUUAUGAGAAAUGGAGUUAGAAUUAUGCAAAGAUAUACAAAAUUGUGAGAUAUUGCUAUUCAUAUGUCACUAUAAUGAGAAAUAAAGUAAAACUGUAAGAUACAGUAUUACUGUGCGGUAUAAAGAUACAAUUGUUAGCUAUAAAGUCAAAACUGCAAGACAAAUUUUCAAUUUAGAUAUAAAGUCACAAUGCAGAGAAACAAAGUCAGACUGUGAGAUAUAAAGUCACAAUAUUAUCUUUUUUACUCUUAGGAAGAAAUGGGCUUCCAUUCUGUAUCCCCUUAAUUUGAAUGGCAUUCAAUAACACUCCAAAAAACUUUUAAGUCAAUAAAUAACAGGAUGCAUCAAUCACAGGAUGUCACAGCAUGCAGCUUCUCUCUCUAUUUGUCUUACAGAUUUCCCAUAUUUUGAGUGAGACAGAGAGACGACAGAGUGAACACAACACAUUAAUGAUGUGAAACCGUAUUAUGUCGUUUGGGUGUAAAUCAUGCAGGUAUGCAGCAGACCAUUUCGGAAAUAAGCAGGCCAUGUCAACAGUCCUCUGUGUGUAAAACUCCAUACUUUCAUUUGAUAUUAGGCUGUUAAAGAAUCACCUGCAGGGUUUUGGAACCAACUGAUGCUUUGGCAUUGGUCGAGUGCAAAGUGUAAUAUUCACAUCCAGCCAGACGUGGAUUUUUAAAUACAUUUUAUUUGAAAGUGAUUUGCCAAAAUAAUCUUUUUUCCCUUUACUGAACCCAUCGCUCGCAGUAAAGUCAGCAGACUAGACGUAAACCUCUCUUUACUUUACUUUGCACAAAUUGUUCACUGGCAUUUAUUGCGCCAAAUAACUCCUGCUUUUUUGAAUGUCACUUUUUAUUGGGUUAACUACAAUGAAUUGGUUCAACGUUUUGGAGACCACUUGAAAAGCAUGACUGUAAUGGCUUUAGCAGUAUUGAGUUCACCAACACUGCUUAGUGCACCAUCUCCUAUCCUGUUCUUUGUCAAUACAAAAUGUUAUGUGUAAUUCAUCCUAUAAACAGAUCAAACUGGCCUAGAGUUUCAAGGUGAGAGAAAAGUACUUUAAGAAGCAUAAGUCAUGAUGUGUUGUAAUUUAAUUUCCAAUUAUUUAGUCAUGUUCAUGCUGUUAAAGGGAUAGUUCACUCAAAAAUGAAAAUUUGAUGUUUAUCUGCUUACCGCCAGGGCAUCCAAGAUGUAGGUGGCUUUGUUUUUUCAGUAGAACACAAACGAAGAUUUUUAACUCAAACCAUUGCAGUCUGUCAGUCAUAUAAUGGAAGUGGAUGGGAAUCACGGCUUUGAGAGUAAAAAAAAAACAUACACAAACAAAACCAAAUUAAACCCUGCAGCUUGUGGUACACUGAUGUGUAAAGAUACAAAACGAUUGGUCUGUGCAAGAAACUGAACAGUAGUUAUAUCGUUUUUUUUUUACCUCUGAUUCACUGCAAUGUCCGAACUGUCCUGAUUGAGUUCUCAACAGCUGGCGCCUGACGCGUCUUCUUCUUCUUGCUUUACGGCAGAUCGCAGAUUUAUAAGUGCAUUACCGCCACCUAUCUCUCAAGUGGACCAUUGACAAUCUAUCUACAAUCUCAAUUAGGAGUGUCAAUGGUCCACUUGAGAGAUAGGUGGCGGUAAUGCACUUAUAAGUCUACAAUCUGACGAAGAAGAUGCUCACAUGCCGGCUGUUGAGAACGCGCUCAGGACAGUUUGGACAUUGCGGUGAA